rnacentral:rRNA from 1 species
UACGAGGGGGGCAAGCGUUUGUUCGGAAUUAUUGGGCGUAAAGGGCGCGUAGGCGGUGCGGUAAGUCACCUGUGAAAUCUCCGGGCUCAACUCGGAGCCUGCAGGCGAAACUGCCGUGCUGGAGUGUGGGAGAGGUGCGUGGAAUUCCCGGUGUAGCGGUGAAAUUCGUAGAUAUUCGGAAGAACACCAGUGGCGAAGGCGACUCACUGGACACAUAUUGACGCUGAGGUGCGAAAGCGUGGGGAGCAAACAGG